GGUUGACGGAGAUCAAGAAUGAGAUGGAGCUCAAUGGUCAUACCCUCAUCGAUGAGACAUUCAUUGAAAAGGUACUUAAUACUUUACCUAUGAAGUUUGAUUAUAUUGUGGCAGUAAUUCAAGAGACCAAGGAUCUUUCAACAUUAAGUACCGAGGAGCUUCUGGGCUCAUUAAUUCUUCAUGAGAAUAGAAUUAAUGGGAAAUU
rnacentral:lncRNA from 1 species